UACGUAGGGUGCAGGCGUAAUCGGAAUUACUGGGCGUAAAGCGUGCGCAGGCGGUCUUUUAAGGUCAGAUGUGAAAUCCCCGGGCUUAACCUGGGAACUGCGUUUGAAACUGGAAGGCUAGAGUGUGGCAGAGGGGGGUGGAAUUCCACGUGUAGCAGUGAAAUGCGUAGAGAUGUGGAGGAAGCACCGAUGGCGAAGGCAGCCCCCUGGGCUAACACUGACGCCUCAUGCACGAAAGCGUGGGGAGCAAACAGG
rnacentral:rRNA from 1 species